UAAUUGUCAGCUAAGUGGCGCACGGGUGAGUAAUGUAUAGAUAACCUGCCCUUAAGAAAGGAAUAACAGUUGGAAACGACUGCUAAUGCCCUAUAUGCCUUUAAUACAUAAGUAUGCAAGGGAAACGCUUUAGUGCUUAAGGAUGGGUCUGUAUGGUAUCAGCUUGUUGGUGAGGUAAUGGCUCACCAAGGCUAUGACGCCUAACUGGUUUGAGAGGAUGAUCAGUCACACUGGAACUGAGACACGGUCCAGACUCCUACGGGAGGCAGCAGUGGGGAAUAUUGCACAAUGGACGAAAGUCUGAUGCAGCAACGCCGCGUGGAGGAUGACACAUUUCGGUGCGUAAACUCCUUUUAUAUAGGAAGAUAAUGACGGUACUAUAUGAAUAAGCACCGGCUAACUCCGUGCCAGCAGCCGCGGUAAUACGGAGGGUGCAAGCGUUACUCGGAAUCACUGGGCGUAAAGAGCGUGUAGGCGGGUAUAUAAGUCAGAAGUGAAAUCCAAUAGCUCAACUAUUGAACUGCUUUUGAAACUGUAUACCUAGAAUGUGGGAGAGGUAGAUGGAAUUUCUGGUGUAGGGGUAAAAUCCGUAGAGAUCAGAAGGAAUACCGAUUGCGAAGGCGAUCUACUGGAACAUUAUUGACGCUGAGACGCGAAAGCGUGGGGAGCAAACAGGAUUAGAUACCCUGGUAGUCCACGCCCUAAACGAUGUACACUAGUUGUUGUGAGGCUCGACCUUGCAGUAAUGCAGUUAACACAUUAAGUGUACCGCCUGGGGAGUACGGUCGCAAGAUUAAAAC
rnacentral:rRNA from 1 species